UGGGGAAUAUUCCGCAAUGGCCGCCCGUCUGACGGCGCAACGCCGCGUUAGUGACGCCGGUUUUCGGACUGUAACGCUCUUUUGUUUAGUACGCACGUGCCUGUUGCGACCCGUUCCCGGUAUUGCCGGUACUCCCCGAGGACGCCACGGCUAACUACGUGCCAGCAGCCGCGGUAAUACGUAGUGUUCAAGCGUUGUCCGGAAUUAUUGGGCGUAAAGAGCAUGUAGGCGGAGAGUUAAGUCUGUUGUGAAAAUGCGGGGCUCAACCCCGUAUGGCGAUGGAAACUGAAUUUCUUGAGUGCAGGAGAGGAAAGGGGAAUUCCCAGGGUAGCGGUGAAAGGCGGAGAGAUGGGGAGGAACACCAGUGGCGAAGGCGCCUUGCGGGACGGUGGCUGACGCUGAGAGGCGAAAGCCAGGGUAGCGAACGG
rnacentral:rRNA from 1 species